UUUGCAUUACAUGGAUUUUUAUACAGAAUUGUUUUUUCUUUAAUGCAACAAGAAUAAACAUCAACUGCAUGUACUUAGGAGCCAAAAAAAUGUAAGUAAAGGAAAAAGCUGCACCUGCCUAUAGACAGUGUUCAAUAAUUGCAUGUUGGCACCGUUAGCUUAGUGGUGAAUCUUUAUAAUUUAUUCUCUACAGGGCAAUAGAGAUAGAGCAGCAUGAAUAAGGAUGUUUUCUUGUGAUGGUCAUCAGAAAGACUGGAGGGGUCAUCUCCUUCUUUGAGGGCAUGAGAGCAUGUGAGGAUGUGAGGAUGUGAGGAUGACAAGGAGGUCAGGUGAGCCAGGUGGUGAAUUUAACUUCCAAUUAAUAAAAAUAUUUCACAGUGCUUUUUUUCCUUCAGAGCAGAGCAAGAUGCUUUGUCUUGUCCUUGUGUGUUCAAAAGAACUAUUUUAAAAAUAUAAGUGUUACUCAUUUCUCUGAAGUCCCAUCAAUUGUUUAUUGGUAAGCACUGUCUGGAAAGGAAGGAAGUGUAAGGAGAUAGCAGGAGUAAAUUGAUAUUUUAUUGCAAUGAAAUGCUUGUGUUAUUUUGUGCUAGCCAGUUUUACUUAUAACCUCCUCAAUUGCAGUGCUGUCUAUGGCAGUUGCUCCAGAAUGAAAGGCUACAUCAUCUCUGCUGCUAGUUUCUUGUGAUGGAGCAAAGAAAUAAAAAAACAGGUAGAUAUUUACUUUUAUUCUCUGACUGAAUGUUUUGAAAAUGAGAAGCUGGGCCCCCUUUCCCAGAGCUGUAGGCAAGGCAUGAUAACUUUCUGCUCUGUUUCCUUUUGCAGAAAUAAUGCCUGCCUCAGACAUAAUAUAUUAGGAGUUCUGAGGACAGGUGGCUUUAGACCUUGAGAAUUUUAUGGGUCUUCUGAUCUAAGCUGCUGAGGAAACUUUUGAAAAUGGACCUUCAGAUGAUUCACACACACAGUAAAUCUCUUCAGAAUCUUUCCAAUGUUUUUAAAACAGCAUAAAAGGAGUACAGGGAAAAGUGGUGGAUGUUGGUGAACGGGGCUAAUUCCUCUGCAAAUAUCUCAUCUUCCUUGCAGAAGUCCAUGGGAAGUAUUAGUAUUAGCGGAUGCUGAGCAUGUUUCCAUUACUACUAGCAUCAAUGCACAUUUGUUAGCCUUAAGAAAUCUCUUCAGAUAUAGAUGUUGACAAUCAUAGCUAUUAGAAAUACUAAAGUGCUAAAGUACCAAAAAAGUACUUAAGCAAGUACCUUAAUAUUUAGAUGGUGUUUGAGGGAAAAAAAAAAAAGAAAGAAAGAAAAGAAAAAGAUAUUUCCCAAAUGACCAUGAUUCUUUUGCCAUCAGUCAAUAAAAUUUUUACUGUUGACUCCUACAGAAGCAUGUUAAGCUCCUAUUAACUACUUCUGAAAUCCCACCCUUAAUCCUGGCCUUCUUAAAUGCCAGAUAGAUAAACAAUGGUCUCUGAAACUCACUUAACCUUCCUGCUUUUCCAAAUGGUAGGAAAAAAAUGGAAAUUUCUGCCACUUAGCCCAACUGAAAUCAAAAAGAGAGGUCCAUAUUUGUUUUUUGUAGCCCAUCUAGAAAACAGGACUGAAAAGUAGAUGAACAUGAAGUGAUUUCUGAGACAUUUGGCAAGUAGUAGUUUUUUCAGAAGUUUGCUUAGAAAAACGGUUCUGUAGAUGCUCAGUUUGAGUAAAAGCAUUUGUUGCCAGGAGUGGGGCAAAAGCGAUCACCAGCUGGUGAUAUUCAUCCUUUCCACUCAUAUUUUCUUUGCUGAAUGUUUGGUGGAAAUGGCAAUUAGUAUUUUGUUGCUUGCAUUUUUACAACUAAAGCACAGGAGAUUAAAGUGAAGUUAUGAAAAUAUGCAUUCUUGAAAAGUUAUGUUCCUGGAAAAGAGAGAGAGAUGAGCUGAGAGGGGAACCUGAUGCUCAAAACCAUGUGAAGAGUCUUCAGAUACUCAGACUUCAAAACUUCUUACUCAGGACCCUAAGCUCUGCAUUAAGUGACUGCCCCAAACUUUUAUGACAUGCAUAGGAAGAGGGCAGGAAUAAACAGAACAUAAAAUAAUCAGUAACCUAUCCCAAAUAUUAGAUCAGACCUUAUUUUUCUUGUUUUUCAUUUAGGGAAAAGAUCUAUAUGUCCUGAAUUCCUGUCAGCUUUAUUGAUUUUCUUCUUUUUAAACAGAAACUUGUAAUCUGAGAAACAUUUUUUAUGUACCCAAAAUGUCUUGAACUGGUGCUGAGGAACUAGGAAAAACUGCAGGUCUUGACACUUUGCUUUACAUCAUCAGUGUUUCAAAGAUUGAGUAAUUACUCAUCAUUUGGUUCCAUUCACAAGUAAUUUUUAGGUAAUACCAUACACGGUCGUAUAGGAUUUGUCCAGAAGUCGAUGAGUUCUUUCAUUGCCAAAAACUUUGGUCAGCAUGAAAUGGAAUUAAGUCAAGUACAGGAAGGAAAUUGUUAUUGAUACCAAAAGAAUUUGCGGCCUUAGAUAUUAUCAGACACAACCGAAAGUUUUUUUCCUUUCUAUUGGAAGGCAUGUGAUUAUAGAUAUGCCAAAAAAUGUUACUAGAUAUUUCAAGAAGAUAUUUGGUUUUUCAAAACUAAUUCUGCCAGCAGGACCCUUGCCAGACAUUAGCAAAGCAUCAAAUUGUUGGUUUUUUUCUUAGAUGAAAAGAAGUCAUAAAUGUAAAAAGGGUAAAAUUUAUAUUUUGGUCUGCUGAUGUCUGUUUCACUACUAAAUGUCUUUAUAUCCUCAAAAGACACUUUUGUAAAAGAAACAUAAACUCCAAAGAAUGUUGGUAAGCUCUUCUUUUUUAUUUAAGUAAGUGCUAAGAUUUAUGCAGGGUACACCUGAUUACGUUGCCAGAGUCUAGGAAUUUUAAGAUAAACUCAGGUUCCAAAAAAAUACCAAGCUAUUCCUCAAAUUAUUUUUUAAAUGCAACACUUAAUAGACAAACAGAUCUACACAUGUAAUACAUAUGCAAAGGUUUUUUCGAGUUAGUGGUAGAAAUUUAAGUGUGGCAAUAAAUGCAUGGGUUUAACCUCUCAAUAGUAGUCUUGCUUUCAGCUGGAAAUGAUGAGAUCAUGUAUAAAACAUUUGCUUAUCUAAAACAUAUUCAUAAACUUCAGUGAAGCCAUUUUUACAACUUUAUUGUCGUGCUUAUUCUAAGUUAAAAUGAUUUAUUAUGUACAAGAUUUUCAAAAUAACAGCAGAAUUCUUUUGCUAGUGUAACUGAACAAACUUUUGUAUAAGUCAAAGUGCAGAACAAAAGAAGAAAAAGUGUUGUGCAUUGAUAAUAGGUAUUUAGAAAAUAAUAGCAUAGGGGAAAAUUGAUAAAUGUUAAAUAUCUUGGCUAUUCUUAACUGUUAUGUCAGUGGAAGUGACCGUGGUUUUUUUUUUUCUCAGUACAGCUCACUGUUAUUGGUAUCUUAAACUAAUUUGAAGAAUGUUAAGUAAGUGAAAGCUAAUUUUAAUUAAUUACUAUCUAAUAAUUCAAUAUUUGAAAGGAACAGCUUUACAUGCAAGAAAUUCAGAGUUAAAUCUGUGAAGAACAUAGUGCUUCACCUAACUUGAAGGCAUCCUACCAGCUAGUAAGAAUUUUUUUGCUCAAAGUUUAGGUACUUCUGUUGCUUAAUGAAUGCAGAGGAAGAGCUGAGUCAGCUCAGAGUAAUUCAAUUUAAGUAAAUUAGUACAAUCAACAUUCAAACACAGGGUCAUAUACAUAUGGAGACAGAAUAUUAACCCAGAGACCAGUCAAAAAUCAUCUCUCUUCACACAUACCACAAAGAGUACUGUCUGAGUAUAUAGGACAAAUGAUAGUAAGUACUUCUGUCUUUACUGAACUUUUCUGCUAAGUUCAGAAAAAAAAUGUGGAAGAUACCAGUCUGAUGAGAAAAACAUUAGGAAGAUAAUAAAAGGAAAAGGAACAACAGCAAAAUCCUUUACUUUGUAUGCUUUCUUAGGGGAGCACAGAUGUGCAAACUGGCAGAGAGAUCAAAUUGUUUUGGCUAUUUCUGCAGUGAGUUGAGCUGUAAUGGCUUGGCAGAGUGAGGACUCACUGCUAAAGCAGACACAUAUCACAUAUGGAGAGGUACCAUUCACCUGCUAUUUCAUAGAGCAAAUAGUUGAAUGUUUGUGUGAAUGUGGGGCUGGAGAGGCUCCCUGUUUACGACCAGCUACGGAUGUCUGUGGAACGUUGCUCUGGAGGAAUUCACAAUGAGAUUUCCAGCAGGAAACACAAAUGCUAAGCAGAUGUAUUUUCUUCCAGACUAAACCUUUAGACUCAGAUUGGUAGACAAUCUUCACUUUAUCCACUUUAAGAUUUUUAAGACAAAAACACAAAACAAUGACUUUUCAGCCCUUUUAACAAAGACUGGAAGCCACUGAGAAGUUAUGUGGGUCUACAUAUCCCUGAGAGCACACAGAAUACUCAUUGAAUCUGCUCAAUCAUCUCAUUCUGCAUUUAACUUAAAAAAAUGCAAAACAAGGCAAAGAAAGAAACCCAGCCCCCAAAAGCAAGUAGCACUCCUGCUCAGAGGAUAUUCAAGGGAGUUAUUCCAACUUGAUCUUUCUCUCACAUAUCCUUUGUGGGAGGAAAUACUUAUGGAGGAAGCAAACUGGAAAAGAUCACAAAGAUCCUGACACAUAGAUUUCCUGGUGUUAUUCUCUAGAGGAAGAGGCAAAAGUUCUUUCCUCAAAUUCCUUUCCCCAUGUAAACAGUAGGAAGAAUAUUAUCUUCUGUUAACUUUUUAUUUUGCUUAUUUGCUGUAAUCUGCAAAACAUGCUAUAUAAAAAUGCCAUUUAUUAAUCAUGACUGUGUUGUGUUCUAAAAUAAAAAUGAUCACUUGGUAUCAUAUUUGUUAUACGUGCUGAAAUGUAUUGUUAGCUAAGUGGCCUUAUCUAUAGUUCAGAAAAUACUGUGCUUUGGAAGACUGUUUGGCAAACAGUGCAAAGAAGUCAUUUAGUUACUGGCUGCAUUAAAGAUGAAAUCAGUUUAAGAUGAAUUAAUACUUCUAGAAAAGCGAUAUGAAAAAAACAACCUAAGCUCUUGGCUUUGGAAGAAGAAAUUAGCCAGUACUGCAAGAGCCUUGGUGAGUAUGCAUUCGGAUGUCCUUCAGUGGAUCUAGAGGAGCAAUUUAAAAAACUAUUGUCUGCAACUCCCAAUUCCUACUUUCUAUCUGGCGGCUACAGUUGAGAUUUGGUAUGUACUCUCUAGCAAGUAUGUCAGUGACAAAAUAGCCAGAUCAGUUUAAAUUACUGUCUUGGAUUAUUUGGGAGCAGAGAACAAAUCACAUUAAAAUGGUGUGAGGCUUCAAGUCAGUUUCUGAUUCCCUGUCUCCUUCUUGUUGCUACAUGGACAUGAGAAUGUUUUGGAGAGGAUAUUGCAAACCAUCUGAAGGUAAAGCUCCAAAUGAUAUUGAAUUCUGUUCCAGAAAGUUCAGGUUCAUAACAUGAAUUUAGUGUAUUGAGGAUACACUCGAAGUCAUAGUUAAAUGAAGAUGCAUUUUUUUUUCCCCCACAAGCAUUUAUUUCAAGUAAUUUGUAAUACAGUGAUAAAUCUGUGCGAUUUUAUUUCUAACUCAACAGGACAUUGGACAUUGCUAAUCUGCUUAAUGUAUGUAACUUAGUAUUCUGUGAUAAAAGCAAUCUAUUAGUGAGCUGAGUGAUAAACAAGCAUGUCUAAAAGAAAUCUUAAGGACAGUCCAAGAUAGUUUGCAUUUAUUUUAAUAAUAUCCAAAUGGUGUUCUAACUAAAGAUGUUAAUAAUUAUGAUGAGGAUUAAGCUCUAGAAGGAGUUAAACUGACUGGCAGGCUUUAUUCUGUUAGUGUUCUGUUUGACAUAAUUCCAUAACCUCUUCCCUUCAAUAAAUGUCAACUUCUUUAUUUUAUUUUUUUAAAUUUCUUGAAUGUCCUAGCUGUGAAGAGAGACAGAGCAUGAAAAUUGUCAAGGAUAUAUCACGUUUUGCAUUCACAUGUUCAUGUUUUUUGUUAGAGUGACUGACAGGCCAGAAAAGAUGUGCGGGAAGACUUCCAAGCAACAAUAAAUACUGAAGUUCUUUCCAAUUCAAUGUUUUGAAAUGUCUUAGAAGUUUUAACCAAAAGGCCUUGCUGUGAUCAACUCUAGUAGGGAAAUAAGAGUAAUAUUUCCUCAAGAAAUAUUUUAUUUUUGAUGGUACUUUCUCCAAAAAAACACCAAUGGAGAAGUGGUGGGAUUCGAUGACAACAUAGACUUUAAAAAUGUAAUAAACUUAUCUAGUGGAAAAGGAGAUGACAGUUUUCAAAGAUAUGUCCACCACCAAGAACUGCUGCAGCCAGGUGAGAAAUUUCAGUGCUUUUACUUUGAAACUUGAUUCGCUUGUGAAGGGAUUUUGUGAUAUAAUAAUCUCUAACACAAGGCACCAAGCCUUUGAUGUGCUUUCCACUCAGAUGUCUCUUCAAAGGUAGAAUAACAUGCUAAAGCAAGAUUUUAAUAAAGUGUUUCAUUUGUAUCAGCUGCAGCAACUCCUCUACCCAUGGUCAUGAUUUCUGGUGUUCCUCUGGUACUGGAGAUAUUCUUGUGUUUAUGUGGAAUACUUCUGUAAACCACAGAAUUCAUAAAUGUUAUUAAAAAAUUGAAUCAUAAUGGCCUAUCAGCUACCAAGAAAGAGGAAAGACUCCUUAAUCUUUCCUGUGGCUGAAACUGAGUGAGUUUGUGAAAAAGUCACAGAAACACCAGGCAUGCUUUACAUUCAUACCCUGACUCACAGUGUCUGAUACAGGACAAACAGAAAAAAUAACAAAUAAAGAUGUUUAAUUUCUGUACCUCUUUAUACUGUCGCUGAUGCAGAACCUCUAGGGGGAAGUUUGGCCUUGGAAAAAUCUUUAUUUCAGAGUAUAAACUCAGAAGGAUGAGCUAUGCCCUAAAUACUUAAUCUACGUAUUUUGAAAGAAACUUAGAAAAUAAUAUGCCAUUUUGCACAAGCAUGAAAGGAGAUCUGUACAGAUAGAAAAUGAAUAGCAAAUGAGGCUCACUGUGAGGAGUGAAAUCAGAUUCAAGGCAAAGUUGUCCUUGAGUGUCUUCUCCAAUGAUGAAGACUGACAGAAAUAAGAUAAGCUAAUAAACUUAAACUUUGACUCAGCUUAAAUAGUAUUUCCAAAGUCUGUUUCAGAAAAUAUAAACACUUUAAAGAGUAGCCAAAAACCUCAUCUGCUCAGCCAUCACAGAUUUCUCAGCUGUGUUGAAGGCAUAGCAACACAAAUUACCCUUGAAAUUACUAUUUCAAGUUGUACAUUUGCCUGAGUAAUAUUUUUAUAUUUUUAGGAGAGUUCUACUAGUAGUACAAGAACUUUUUCCAGACAAGGACUUAGCUUGGGUUUAUGUCAGCAUAUAAUUUGUAAAAGUUUGUAAUAAACAUGCCUCAGUGAGAUUGGCAAAGAUUAUAGGAAGGAAAACAUCACUACUAACUUCAGGCUACUUGCUUCAAUUUAAACCUCAGGUUUUCUAUGUGAGCUUCAAAACUACAGAGAACUGAUGAAUCAUUAUGUAACUAAGACCAGAAUUUCAAAAGUAGUCUAGCCUUUUUCAAAAAUUCUGCUUUGAUUGUGGAUUUUGACUUUCACUAUUAUUGACCAGUGGCCUUAUGCCUAGGUUGGGAGAUAGAUACACUAAUAGUUUUUCAUUCAGAUUGAAAGAAAUAUGCAAGGCAUAUUUCAGUAUCUUAUGCCUGAGCUAACAUCCUUCUACAUACCUACUGAAGUAAAAAGUUUAAGGUGCAACUGACGUAAGUCUUACAAAUAAGCACUUAGAGAAUGUUUAUAUAAACAGGGUAAACAGAAGAGAGAAAUAUCAGUAUGAAUGCUAGAGGUCAGUCUUAAAUUACUACUCUUCUAAGGCCAGUUUUUAUACUGGGAUGUAGGGCCAUCAUUAUUUUUCCAAUGCUUUUCAAUUUGUGGUAAGAGAUAAUUUCCUCCCUGCAGUAACUAAAGCAACAAUCUGUUUAGCUGUAUUUGGAAACUAAUUUUGUUAGUAAAUGAUGAAGGGAAACAAGGCAAGGACCUAUUUACCAAGUUUUUCUGUAGAAGAAUUAAGUUUUUCCUAGGUCCCUCUUUUGUCCACACUAAGCAGCUUCUCUGCUCUGGAUGAAGCUUGCAUAUCCUUGGUACAACUUAAGAGCUUGAAAAUUAAAGCAUGCAUCAGUGUCUUUGAAAAUAGAUUUUAGUGACUACUGUGAUAAUGCUUUUUGUGUGUGUGUGUGUGUGUGUGUGUGUGUUCUAUUAUUUAAAACAUGUAGAUAUUUUGGUCAGAAUUGAGCAUGACAUUGAGAUAUUAAGCAAGCUCAAAACAGAAUAGCUGAUUACUUUGAAGAUCCGACACAUGAAGUUACUUAAAGGCAUGAUUCUUCAUGUUUUCCCAAAAUGGAGCUUAGUCUAUGCUUUAACUAUCUCAGAAGCUACUGUUCCAAGGUGAUGGUGAUGAAUAAUCUUGAACUGAAAAACAGCUGCUGGUAUAUAUCAAAUAAAUAUUUAAUUGUAACAAAUGAUGUCAUUCUGAUAACUAACUGGAAUUUUUGUCUUUACUGAUUUUCAUAAAAUAGCGUGUAAGUAAAAUAAAGCAUUGAAAAAAGAACAAAAAAAUCCAGUUUUAGAGGUGUAAGAGAUGGACAGAUCCAUUGCCAAAUGAGAAUAAAUGCUUACUAAAAACGCUUCCUAAUGCAAUUAAGUUGAAUGAACUAAAUGUGAGAAUUCAUAAACAUUUGGUUAAGCUGCACUCUAUCCUUUUUGACACAGAAGAAAUAACUGUUUCCCUAUUAUCUGGAAAACCAUUGGAAAACCAUUUAUUAAUGCCAAAGUCAAUAGCAUCUCAACCAGUCAAAAACUAUAACAUCAUUUGAAUGAUCAAUACGCAUAAGAAAAUGACUAUGGAAGCAAAUAGAACAAAACUUCUUUCAACUUGCUGAAAAAUUUAUUAGAAGUACUUCCUUUUUAGUAAGUGUAUCAUAAGAAUGAUAAAACCAGUGGUACGAAGAACAGCUAAAGGUGUGUGGAAAGAAAAGUGAAUAACUGAACUUCUCAUAAUCACAGUGCUUACCAAAGCUGGAAAUAAUAGCUCCUCCUCCAAGACAUAGUCUCAGAAGGCUCUAUUCUUUCUUUAAAGUAACAAAUUCAUUGAAAAAGCAUUUAAGAACAGCAUUGUCAGUGUGUCCAGUAAUGCAGUUUGUGAAUAACUGCAACAGUACAAACUAAAAGUCUGAAUGUAAAGAGGCUUUCAGACUGUUUUCUAGGCUAUUACUUUGAAGAAAAAUAUUACACACAUUGGUUCAUUUAAGAAUGACUUUUGGGACCAAUGGCCUUGAUCCAGGAUUGCAAGAAUGAUGACAUUAUUGCAUGACAUUUAAGCAAGAGAGAACUUCUUCACUGUUCUCAAAAGGGUGCUGGUUUCCCAAAGACAAGUCAACUCAUUGUACAAAUAUGAUGAGAGUUCUGAAUGUGGAAAAUGCUUAUAGUGUACAUUAAAUGUGGGUAGUGCAUAGAGUUGAAAUCAAAAGUAUAAAUUAUUAUUAUCAUAAGAAAUUUUAAAUGAAUGAGCUUACAUUCCUCAUUACUGUAUCAAUCUCAGCCACUGCACACUGAAAUCUUCUGAACAAAAAUCAUAAACGAUAAUCUUAGCCAUAUUUGAAGAUUUACCUUACUGGCUGCCUGUAUUUGCUGUUGUUUAGUUCUGCAGAGCCUGGGUUUCGUUUGGAAAAGCUAAGUAUUAUUUCAGUACCAACAAUAAUAAAGGCUUACAGGGAAAAUGCUGUUCUUUACAGAAUGUGUGACACAAGCAGUGGUGUCUAAAGCUUGUGAAGACGGAAGGAGUGGAAUGUGGGAUGAGAGGGAAACUGAAAACCUAGAGAUAUGUGUGUUCGUUUGCGCAUGUAUAUGUGUCUGCAUACGCCAGCUAAACUGCUGGAUUAUCCAAAUUAUUUAUUUGGAUGUUUCAGCAUCCUUCAUGAUAGGUACUGUUUUGAUUUCAGUCAUCUAAUCCUCAGUCUUCUCAUUCAAAUAGAGACAUUUAUUUAUUUUUUUAAGGGCAUUGCAUGUUCUCCAUUACAUGGAGGCCACGCCACAAGCAGAGCUAGCCAGCUUCUGCCUAAAAUGUGAAGGUCACAGUUUUUAUUGGCACUUGCUCUCUGAUUUGGUUUCCAUAGCUUAUUAGCUACAAAAAUUGCCUUGGCUAUAAUUAUUUUCAACCUAAGAACAAAAACAGAUAAAUCCAGGCAAAAUGAAGCUACUAACAAUCAUCUGUAAUGUUUUCUCCAGUGCUAACUGUAAGUUAGGCUUUCCAUUUUCCCAGAGAUAUUAUACAUAUCUGUUGAACCUGCUCAUAUCUUCUCCUUCACCCCACUCUAGACAUCACUGGAGAUAAAGCAGCCACUUUCCCGGGUUUAUUGAUUCCUGAGAUCACUCUCUUUCCUAUUCUGUAGUGGCUCUUUUGUUUGGUAUGUGUUGAGUUCCAAUGUGAAUGGGGUAGCUUUCAUAUGGUUUUGGAAGUAUGUAAUCAGCCAUGAAGUCUCAGUGAAACAGCCAGUUUUCUUUUUUUGGCUUGUAUUUCUGUAGAUGUUUACUGGCCUAAAUAUCUUCCUCCUUACAGCAUUCUUCUACCAAAGAAACAGAAAGCAACUUUCAUAUUCUCCAGUCAUCCUACUGCAGCCUACAGGUAUCAUAGAAAUAUUUCUACCAAGAGCACAAGUUCCACUCUUGCCCUCUCUGUUGUUCUUCAAAGAGAUCAUGCACAUUAGCAUAAGAAGCAUAAGAAGCAUAAGCACUCUUGUGCUUCUUAUGCUAAUGUGCAUGAUCUCUUUGAGGAACAACAGCAAGGAGACUGGAUAGUUUGAGGUGUAAUUGAUGGGAUGCUGAAGGUCUGGCUGUUUUGGUGGUUAUUUUUAUAGAUUAUAAAGGAACUGACCAGGCAGCAUCAUUCUUCUGCUACCUCAACUUGCAGCUGAAUCUAACAGCUUAACCUUGAUGGUCUCAGCCCUCCAGUUAGCCCAUUUGGUCAAAUAAGGCUAGCGGUAACUGAAAGCUGUUACCAGCUGAUGGCUAUGUUGACUGAUAGCUUGUGGAAAUCCCCUUAGUGGACUCAGAUAAAAUUUUACUGACAAAAUCUCACUAUCUCCAAGUGAAUUCCUCCAAAAUAAAUGCUAACUUAAGGCUCAGGGGCAACCACAGGUUUAAAGACAAGGAGGGUGAACUUGUCUCUUCCCUAGAAAUAUUGUCUGUAUGCCAGCAGUGAAGUGAAAAGAGGCACAUUUGUGUCAGCACCACCCAGGCUGUCAAUAAAGAACUCCUGCCCUCAGAACUAUCAAUCAAAUUCAUAUGAAUUUCCCACUCUUCCAAAACCAUUUUCCCACAGGGAAGAAGGGAUCACAAAAUUAAACAGCAUUCCUUCUUCUUACAUCUUUGUAAUCUGUAAGCACUGUGCCUGUCAUAGUGCUCCCAGGAGGUUUCAUUAACCAUAAUGCCUCAUCUCUGCAAACAGCUGCUUUCCUUUUGCACAAGAGUUCUUGGAGACAUGCUUCACUUAUCAGAACUAAGCCACUGAAAAGCUGGCAACUUUAAGAACAUAAGCAGAAUGCUCCAUCUGUCUUUUUUAUACAGAAAAACCCUUACAUUUAUGAGUGACAUCAAGAUGAAUCGUAAUACAACCAGAAAUAGAAGAAUUCCUGCUUGUACUACUGCAGCUUUGGGGUGAACUGGACAAACUACUGAAUAGUGACUACUGUCAACAGCUGGCUUUUGCCAAAACCUUCAUAGAUUCAGAGUGGGAAGUUUACAUCAUUAAAAAAAUCCACAAGUAGCGACAGAUGAAAUUCAACCCCAUCCACAGCACUGCUUGUCAGCACAGCAAUACUGGACACACAUCACAUCAACACAAAACAAUGACAUGCAUACGUGCCCAUAGACCUCACCACCCCUUCACCAUCCCCCAUAUUGAAGUCUGAGUUGUACAGACAGCAAAAUACAGCCAUACCUGGAGACAGGAACAAGGUGAAGAGCCCAUGGUAGCUGUGUUGGCUUCACUGCCAUUGUUACCAUUUGUUGAUCAUUAUUUGUCAAGAUUUAUGUCUGUUUAGAACAAAACAAGCAUUGAAAUUUUGAAGGGUUGCUUAAUGGAGAGAACAAGUUUCAACUUUAUUCCCCACUUUCAUGCAAUCAGAGGUUAUGUUUAUUUAGAAAGCUAACAUUUAUACAGAUUAUGCACUUUCAGUGCUUCCAUGCCAAAAAAUACAUGACUAAAAUGGGUCUUUCCAUCACUCUUUCAGAUUUGACCUAUGAUUGUUUUUACAGGAACUGGAUCUUUUAAGCAAUAGCCUCUGGUAGAGUAAGAGGAAAGCACAGCACCUUGUGCAAUAAUUUGCAAAAAGUGGCUUAGGCUAAAGGUUUUAAGCAAAAUGCAUUUGAAUCACUCAGCUUUCCAGACUACCCCAAACACUAUUUGAUUAGGAUAAUUGCCAGGGCGAGAAGGAAGGGUCACCAAGCAAAGCUGGGUGGUAGUGGAGGUCAUCAGUUAAGGAAGUAUAACUUUUAAGCAUUGUGAAACUUUUUAUUAAUUAAGUCUCCCAAAAAACUUUUCAAAGUCUUAAGAACAGUGAGGUGAGAAUUAUUAGAGAUUGAGAAUUGAGCUCCCAAAUCAGUGAAUAAUUAUUCAAGCUGUAAAUAUGCUUUGUUGUAUGCGCUGCUGAUUAUUCUGCUCUUGACAACAUUUAAAAUGUUGCUAUUUUGUAAGUAAGAAAUGUUUGUGUCAUGUUUGUAUGGAAGUGCUUAUUUAAAACUCAUUUUAACAAUCCACUCACAGAAAAAAAAAAA